rnacentral:rRNA from 1 species
UACGUAGGUGGCAAGCGUUGUCCGGAUUUACUGGGCGUAAAGAGCGCGCAGGCGGCUGGUCAAGUCCGAUGUGAAAUCUCCCGGCUCAACUGGGAAACUGCAUCGGAAACUGAUCGGCUUGAAGGUGGGAGAGGGUAGUGGAAUUCCCGGUGUAGUGGUGAAAUUCGUAGAUAUCCGGAAGAACACCAGUGGCGAAGGCGGCUCACUGGCUCAUACUGGACGCUGAGGUGCGAAAGCGUGGGGAGCAAACAGG